rnacentral:rRNA from 1 species
UACGUAGGUGGCAAGCGUUGUCCGGAUUUACUGGGCGUAAAGAGCGCGCAGGCGGUCGUUCAAGUCGCGUGUGAAAGCCCCCGGCUCAACUGGGGAGGGUCACGCGAUACUGAUCGACUUGAAGGCAGGAGAGGGAAGUGGAAUUCCCGGUGUAGUGGUGAAAUGCGUAGAUAUCGGGAGGAACACCAGUGGCGAAGGCGACUUCCUGGCCUGUUCUUGACGCUGAGGCGCGAAAGCUAGGGUAGCAAACGGG